rnacentral:rRNA from 1 species
AACGAACGCUGGCGGCAUGCCUAACACAUGCAAGUCGAACGAGAUCUUCGGGUCUAGUGGCGCACGGGUGCGUAACGCGUGGGAAUCUGCCCUUUGGUUCGGAAUAACAGUUGGAAACGACUGCUAAUACCGGAUGAUGACGAAAGUCCAAAGAUUUAUCGCCAGAGGAUGAGCCCGCGUAGGAUUAGCUAGUUGGUGUGGUAAAGGCGCACCAAGGCGACGAUCCUUAGCUGGUCUGAGAGGAUGGUCAGCCAAACUGGGACUGGGACACGGCCCAGACCCCUACGGGAGGCAGCAGUCGGGAAUAUUGGACAAUGGGCGAAAGCCUGAUCCAGCAAUGCCGCGUGAGUGAUGAAGGCCUUAGGGUUGUAAAGCUCUUUUACCCGGGAUGAUAAUGACAGUACCGGGAGAAUAAGCUCCGGCUAACUCCGUGCCAGCCGCCGCGGUAA